AUCGUGUGUGGAUUGGAAGUGUCAGUGGGGUGUCACAUAGUCACCCAGCAAACCCCCCCUUCUGCCUCCCCAUCCUGCGUGGGGUGACUCACACCGUGAUCUGGGACAACCUGCUCGUCUGUACCAUCCGUGGUUGUGUCUUCCUCUGGGGCGCGGGAUGGUGGGAGUGUGCAAGGGGUGCUGGACAUGUGGGUCUCAAGGGACUCGGCCCCUGACUUUGGGGGUGACCUCAGGCCAAGCCCUGCCCCUCUCUGGGCCUCAGUUUCCCCAUCUGUGUAUACCCUUUCAGCCCCUCCCGGCCCUGACCUUGGGAACCUCACUCUUCCAGACUCCUUCCCUAGCCCUUCUGUUCAUUCGUGCAUUCCUCCAAAGAGUAUUUAUUGAGCACCUACUGUAUGCCUGGGACCCAGCAGCGCCUGGGGCGGCCCCGGCCUGGCCCUGUCUUCUGUAACAAGUGCUGAAGCCGGAGAAUCUCCUGAACUCCCCCCUCCCGUGGGGCAGAGUGGGGCACAGUUCUGGAGGGAGGCGUGGGGUCUGGGUGCCCGCUGGUGGCAGGACGGGGGGGUGGGGGUGGGAGAAGGAAUUAAGCGUUUCAGGUGUUACCUGCAGCCCCCAAGGGCUUCAGGUCCCCGAUGGCCCCAGAUGGUCCCCUCUGCCUCACUGCAGUGUGGGAGUGUGUUCAGUGUCUGGAAAUGGGAGCCUCCGGCCUCUUCUUCCCCGGAGCUCUGUGGGGCAACCCUGCCAUCUACUACCCAACUAGCGGGACCGCUUUGCAGGGGUGAGGUUCCUGCCGGGUUAGAGGCCAAUGCAGGGCCCACUCUAGCAGACAGGAUGGCCUGUGGCCACAGGAGCCACGAUUUCCCACAUGCCGUUCUCCGAGCAGCAACAUUGUUUCCGGUAAUGGUCAUGUAACAAACAAUCAACGGAACCAUUUAAAGAGAGAAGAAAACAUUGCAAUUUUAAAGAUACUCAAAAUCAGCAACCCAGUUGAAGGUAGAACUAGCAUUUGCACUUACUUGCCCAGCAAAAAUUCCACGCUGCUUUGAUGCUUUACUUUUAAAGACGAAUAAAAACUCCAGGUGCAACAACAGAAACGGAGAGACUCAAGAUCUGCAUCUUUGUGUCUUUACAAUCCCUGGCUCUGGGGUUUUAUUAUUUACUGUGUCCCUGUAGGAACACGCAGGGCCCAUUUGGUUUAGAGAUUGGAUUGCUGCCCGAAGACACCACAGGUGAUUACAGACCGAACUGCUUCUCAAGGGAAGCGCUCACAGCUGAGUCCUCAAGGGUCCAGAACAGGGAAUUCCCCAAAUGGACUUCCUGCAGGAAGCGAUGUUUAUUAAAGGAUAAAGAAUGAAAACGGGCAAGCUUGAAACUUGUGUCUAUGUUAAUAAAACAACAGUAAUCACAACAGUUCUUUCAUCAACCCCACAAAAUAUUGUAUUCAACAAACUUGUGGAGUACCAGCUCUGGGGGGUGCGAUGCUUUUCUUACUGUUUUGAAUUCUCCGCAGACAGCACCCCUCUGUUGUCUGCGCUUCUCUCUCACCGACCCUGUACCAGUUGGCUCACCCAGAGGAGGACAUGAGUCCGGUUGAAGGGCUGCUGAAAACCCCUGGACUGUCUCACACCCUGAGGGUUAGUUGAGGGUUACAAUGGCUUGACCACCUGGGAAAACAGUUUGACUGUUUCUGCUACAGCUGAACGCACACUUGUGUACAAGUUUGAAUAAUCAUGUCCACGCCCUAACCCCUGGAACCUGUGAACAGAACUUUAUUGGAAAACAGACUUUUGAGGAUGUAAUUUUUUUUGUUUGUUUGUUUUUUGUUUUUGCGGUACGCGGGCCUCUCACUGCUGUGGCCCCUCCCGUUGCGGAGCACAGGCUCCGGAUGCGCAGGCUCAGUGGCCAUGGCUCACGGGCCCAGCCGCUCCGUGGCAUGUGGGAUCUUCCCGGACCGGGGCGCGAACCCGGGUCUCCUGCAUCGGCAGGUGGACUCUCAACCACUGCGCCACCAGGGAAGCCCCUGAGGAUGUAAUUAAGAGUCUCAAGAAGAUCAUUCUGGAGUAUCCAGAUGGACGCUAAAUGCAGUGACAAGUGACUUGUAAGAGACACACAGAGGAGAGAGAGAGAAGACACCCGUGUGAAAACAGAGGCAGAGAUCGGAGGGAUGCAGCCACAAGCCCAGGGAUGCCUGGGGCUCCCAGAAGCUGGAAGAGGCAGGAAGGACCAUCUCCUGGAGCCUCCAGAGGGAGCACAGCCCUGUGACACCUUGAUCUUGAACUUCCGGCCUCCGGAUGGUGAAAGGAAAAAUUCCUGUUGUCCCAAGCUACCCAGUUGGUGGUCACUGGUUACAGGAGACUCAGAGGCUCACCCUACACCCUGCAGUCUCUGACAGGUAUACGCCCAAGACAAAUGAGAGCUCCGCUCACCAAAGGCUGCUUCUAGAAUGUUCCUAGCAGCUUUAGUCACAAUAGGCCCCUCUGGAAACAACUGUAACACCCAUCAGCAGUGGACUGAAUCAUUCUCUGACCCUCACAGAAUGACAUGCUCUCUGCCAAUGAAAAAGGAUGAUGCAGCAAUCAUUCCCGCAGCAGCGUGGUGAGUCUGAGUCAGACAGGAGGGGACAGAAGACCCCGUGGACAUGACACAAGUGACCUUCAAGGCCAGAGGCAAUGGAGGCAGGAUGGGGGCUACCUUGAGGGGGAAGUGACUGGGAGGGGCCAGCCCUGUUGUCAGACUUGCCCCCAAGUCGCGGGUUACACUCUUCUGUACACUUAAAUUAAAACCAAAAUAAAUCUG
rnacentral:lncRNA from 1 species